ACAGCCAUGUCACAUUGAAACACUGUUUCCCUCACGAUCUCCGAAGUUAAGCAACUUCGAUACCUGGUCAGUACCUAGAUGGGUGACCACUUGGGAAUACCAGUUGCUGUGA